UGGGGAAUUUUGGACAAUGGGCGAAAGCCUGAUCCAGCAAUGCCGCGUGUGUGAAGAAGGCCUUCGGGUUGUAAAGCACUUUUGUCCGGAAAGAAAUCCUUGGCUCUAAUACAGUCGGGGGAUGACGGUACCGGAAGAAUAAGCACCGGCUAACUACGUGCCAGCAGCCGCGGUAAUACGUAGGGUGCAAGCGUUAAUCGGAAUUACUGGGCGUAAAGCGUGCGCAGGCGGUUUGCUAAGACCGAUGUGAAAUCCCCGGGCUCAACCUGGGAACUGCAUUGGUGACUGGCAGGCUAGAGUAUGGCAGAGGGGGGUAGAAUUCCAGUGUAGCAGUGAAAUGCGUAGAGAUGUGGAGGAAUACCGAUGGCGAAGGCAGCCCCCUGGGCAAAUACUGACGCUCAUGCACGAAAGCGUGGGGAGCAAACAGGAUUAGAUACCCUGGUAGUCCACGCCCUAAACGAUGUCAACUAGUUGUUGGGGAUUCAUUUCCUUAGUAACGUAGCUAACGCGUGAAGUUGACCGCCUGGGGAGUACGGUCGCAAGAUU
rnacentral:rRNA from 1 species